rnacentral:rRNA from 1 species
AGCAGCCGCGGUAAUUCCAGCUCCAAUAGCGUAUAUUAAAGUUGCUGCAGUUAAAAAGCUCGUAGUUGAAUUUCGGGACCAUCAUGUCGGUCGUGCCUCGGUACGUACUGGCAUUGUUGGUUUCUCCCUUCUGACGAACCAUGAUGUCAUUUAUUUGGUGUCGUGGAAAAUCAGGACUGUUACUUUGAAAAAAUUAGAGUGUUUAAAGCAGGCUCACGCUUGAAUACAUUAGCAUGGAAUAAUGAAAUAGGACGUUUGAUUCUAUUUUGUUGGUUUCUAGGAUCGACGUAAUGAUUAAUAGGGAUAGUUGGGGGCAUUAGUAUUCAAUUGUCAGAGGUGAAAUUCUUGGAUUUAUUGAAGACUAACUACUGCGAAAGCAUUUGCCAAGGAUGUUUUCAUUAAUCAAGAACGAAAGUUAUGGGAUCGAAGACGAUCAGAUACCGUCGUAGUCUUAACCAUAAACUAUGCCGACUAGGGAUCGGAUGAUGUUAAUUUUAUAAUGACUCAUUCGGCGCCUUAC